rnacentral:pre_miRNA from 1 species
AUUGGAAUUGCUGGGUCGUGCAGCAAUUCUAUAACUUUUUGAGGAACUACAAAACUGUUUUCCACAGCAGCUGUACCACUUUACAUCCUUACCAGCAAU